GGUUAAGCGACUAAGCGUACACGGUGGAUGCCCUGGCAGUCAGAGGCGAUGAAGGGCGUGCUAAUCUGCGAUAAGCGCCGGUAAGGUGAUAUGAACCGUUAUAACCGGCGAUACCCGAAUGGGGAAACCCAGUGUGAUUCGUCACACUAUCAUUAACUGAAUCCAUAGGUUAAUGAGGCGAACCGGGGGAACUGAAACAUCUAAGUACCCCGAGGAAAAGAAAUCAACCGAGAUUCCCCCAGUAGCGGCGAGCGAACGGGGAGGAGCCCAGAGCCUGAAUCAGCAUGUGUGUUAGUGGAAGCGUCUGGAAAGGCGCGCGAUACAGGGUGACAGCCCCGUACACAAAAGCGCAUGUGCUGUGAGCUCGAUGAGUAGGGCGGGACACGUGGUAUCCUGUCUGAAUAUGGGGGGACCAUCCUCCAAGGCUAAAUACUCCUGACUGACCGAUAGUGAACCAGUACCGUGAGGGAAAGGCGAAAAGAACCCCGGCGAGGGGAGUGAAAAAGAACCUGAAACCGUGUACGUACAAGCAGUGGGAGCACAGGUUUACCUGUGUGACUGCGUACCUUUUGUAUAAUGGGUCAGCGACUUAUAUUCUGUAGCAAGGUUAACCGUAUAGGGGAGCCGAAGGGAAACCGAGUCUUAAC
rnacentral:rRNA from 1 species